UUGCCCACGGCUGUAAUGCUGACUCUGCUCCUUCCUCUGGUAUCUACUGCAGACAGUGAGACACAAAUCCAGAAUGUUAGAAUUCUCCCUACCCAGUUUACCGGAAUUCUUUCGCACAGACUUCUGGGAAAUGUAGUUCAUGCGACUGUGACAUCAGAGGGAGCCGUCCAGGAAAUUCUUUUACGUCUUCCCUGUACUACUGCAUGUUUUUCCCCAAAGUUGGGCGCGAGUCCUGCUGCGUCUCCUGCUGCGUUCUCUGACUUGGAGGAUAUGCUGUCCUUCUGGGAUGUGGCCAUUGAGUUCUCUCCAGAAGAGAGGGAAUGCCUAGAUCCUGCUCAGUGGAGUCUGUACAGGGAUGUGAUGUUGGAGAAUUACAGCAACCUUCUAUUCCUGGGUCUUGCUGUCCCUAAGCCACACCUGGUGACAUUUCUGGAGCAAAGACAAGAGUCUUCAGGAGUGAAGAGACAAGCAGCAGCCACCGUGCACCCAGGAAGAAUACCCAAUGAUUAUAACAUUUCUAAUGAGACUAUUGAUUAUAAGUCACUAUGUAUUCCACGCAAGAGAAUUCAUGCAGGGAAGAAACUCUACAAGUGUGAAGAAUGUGGUAAGGCCCUUAGUUCUUCUAAAACACUUUCUAUACACCAGAGACUUCACACUGGAGAAAAAUGCUACACGUGUAAAGAAUGUCAUAAGGCAUUUAAUACACGCUCAUCACUUUUUAUUCACCAGAAAAACCAUACUGAUGAAAAAACAUACAUGUGUGAAGAAUGUGGCAGAUCAUUUUACUAUCCUUCAAUGCUGAAGCAACAUCAAAGAAUUCAUUCUAGAGAGAAACCCUACAAGUGUGAAGAAUGUGGCAGAGCUUUUUAUGAUCCUGCAUUUCUGAAGAAACAUCAAAAGAUUCAUUGUGGAGAGAAACCCUACAAGUGUGAAGAAUGCCACAAAGCUUUUCGUUGUCACUCAAGCCUUAAGAACCACAAGGCAAUGCACACGGGAGAGAAACUUUACCAGUGUAAACUGAGUGGAAAGGGAUUUACUAAGCCUGCUCUCCUCAGUGAGAACAAGACAGCUCAUACUGCAGAGAAAGCCUACAAGUGUGAAGAGUGUGGCAAGUGUUUUUGCACAUCUUCAUCCCUUAGACGACAUCAAACAAUCCAUUCUGAAGACAAGUCCCACAAGUGUGCAGAGUGUGGCAAAAGGUUUCCCUCCUUUACAUACCUUCAAGAUCACCAGAGAGUCCAUACUGGGAAGAACAAUACAAGAGGGGGGAGGGGGGAAAAUCUUUUUUUUUAUUUUCAUCCCUUAGACGACAUCAAACAAUCCAUUCUGAAGACAAGUCCUACAAGUGUGCAGAGUGUAGUAAAAGGUUUUCUUCCUUUACAUACCUCCAAGAACAUCAGAGAGUCCAUACUGGGGAGAAACCAUACAAGUGUGAGGAGUGUGGAAAAUCUUUUUUCUUCUUUUCAUCCCUUACACGACAUCAAACAAUUCACUGUGAAGAGAAUCCUUUCAAAUGUGAAGAGUGUGGCAGGUGUUUUUACUCAUCAUUUUCCUUUAGAAUACAUCAAACAAUCCAUUCUGAAGACAGUCCCUAUAAGUGUGUACAAUGUGGCAAACAGUUUUCCUAUUCUAGGAGUCUUCAGGAACAUCUGACAGUUCAUACUGGAGAGAAACCAUACAAGUGUGAAGAAUGUCACAAAUCCUUUCAUUAUCAAUCAUCCCUUAGGAAACACAAGAGUGUUCAUACUUGAGAGAAAUUCUACAAGUGUGAGGAGUGUGACACAUGGUUUUCCUCAUCUUCAUCUCUUAGACAACAUUAAAAAAAAGAAAACAAAAAACGAAAUUCAUUCUGAAGACAGUCUCUAAAAGUGUGAUGAAUGUGGCAAAGACCUAGCUAAUCUUUAUAUCCUUACUCAACACAAUACACUUCCUACAAGACAGAAAUCCUACAAAUGUCUUUAAAAGUUUACUUCUUCAAUCCUUAAAACAUGUCAAAUGAUUCAUUCUGACUACAAACUCCAUGAGAGUGUGAAGUGUGGCAAAAUUUUUGUUAAGAAUUCAGAUCCUAUCCAACUUUAAUGAAUGCAAAAUGGAAAAUAUUAAGUUAAUUAUUUUGGAAUGUCAGCAUGAACAUCUCACAAAUGCUAAGAAUGUCAUCACAGAACAGUAGAAACUUCUCUUUGCAGUAACCCCCAACAGUUUGUUCGAGCAGCGUGCCUGAAACUUGCCUUGAUUAGUCCUAUCUUACAAGAAUGCCAGACUCAUGCGUCUUCUCCUCUGAGGAUCACAUGUUGACUCCUCUCUGCCUACACUUCCCAGAAUCCUCAUAUCGUAGUCCCACCUAUCUUGCUGCCCUAUUGGCCAACAGUGCUUUAUUCAUCAACCAAGAAGACAACCAUAUACACAGAAGAAGAUUCCCCAUCAAGGGGGUACACAUAUCUCUAUAGUAAGGUAUGAGGAUCCCAUAUAAGCCCAGAACUGAAAUAGUGGGGACUGUGGGGUGAGGUUAUUAGGGAUAUGAGGUGUUGAUUUGUGAGGUUCCAGUGUUCUUUGCAGCACCCAUAGGCUGUGCUCUUGUGGUCUCAAAGGCUACUUUAGGCCUGUGGCUCUAACCACGGCCUGUAGAUAGUGUAUGCAAUGCAUCUGAAGUUUAGUACCUGCCUCCAGCAGGCUGACAGGGUCCAAGGGGAGGAAGAGUUUGACUCCAUGUGCCCACCUGGCUGCCUAGUGAGCUGCUAGCCCAACCUGUAUUGAAUUCUGAGGCCACUGGAAGGAAAUGCUGGUUGCAGGCUGCUCUUCCAUGACUGUGGGAGCAGGCACUGCUUUUUUUUUUUUUUAUCUUUGGACCCUGUACAAUUUUGCUUCCACAGUUAACCUGAGGCCUCAGCAAACUACAUAGUGCAAGCUGGGAAAAAAUGACUGGGUAAAUUAUCUGCAUUUAUAUAGACAUCUUUACACCAGGAGAUAAACAAUAGUAGUCUCCUUUGGUCUCAGGCAGCCUUGUUAGCUGUUCUUAAUCACACAAUGUCUUCUUUACCAUUUGUUGAUGUCCUUUUUCCUGUCUCAGAGUCAGCGACACUGACCCAGGACAGGACAUAAGAGGACCCUUAGAGAUGCACGUGCAUAUGGCUAAUGUGGGGACAACAAACCUUAGCUUCAAAAGCAAAUGUUCAUGCAUGUGUAAUAUCAGCAAUACCUGAAAUGCAAUUGAUUCUAUAUAUUUAAGAAAUAGAAACAUGAAAAAAAAGAGUAACCAGGCUUGUUGGGGCUGAAACCAAGGCAGACCACACAGUCAGAGGGCAAAGGAAUGUCAAAGUCAGUGGGAAUGUCAUAUCACAGUUAAAGGAAGCAGGCUAUUCUAAGAACUGGUCCUAGGACCAGAUAACUGUUAACAGUUGAAAUCUGUCUACCUGGGUUCCGGAAUUCUUUCGCACAGACUUCUGGGAAUUGUAGUCUGCGGCACUGUGACAUUAGCCAAAGUUGGGCGCGAGUCCUGCCCCGCUGCGUCUCCUGCUGCUUCUCAGACUUGGAGGUUGGUCCAGGGUGCAGCGCAGCCUGAGGCUUUGUGCGGGGUGUGGGUUCUGUCUUGGAGGGAACGGACCUGGGCUGAGGGAAGGGCGGAGAAGCUGCCUGGGAGGUGCUGGGCUGAGCUGGCUGGGACACGCAAGUUGGCAGAUCAGGACUGGGAGAGGGCGAUGGGACUGUGCCCUGAGAGAUGGUUUCCAUAGGAUGUGCAGCCCGAGUCCACCUUGGGAUUCUGGGACAGGAGAGCUGCCUGGGAGCAGAUGAUACCGCAAGGUCCAGGACUGCAAGCUAGUGAUGGUCAGCUGAGGUGACCAGGACUGCAAGCUAAUGAUGGUGAGCUGACUGCCUGCUCCUGGGGUGGAGCUGAGAGCUGACUGAGCUGCUUUGGGAAAGGGGAAGCAUGCUUCUCUAGCUGAGCCAUUCUCACAUGGCUGCUGUCAAUUUCUCAGUAUCUUAGAGUAAACAGGGUUUCUGACCUCUCCUGUACUCUGUCCUGUGUAGUAUAAGGGUCUUGUGCCUUCAUUGUGUUCAUUUCCUCUGCCAGUUAAAGGCUUGAGAGGAAAAAAUCUGAGGCACAGCAAAGGUCACUUGUGGGAAAUUCUGGAAGACAGCAGACAGAUCUGCUUUUUAUUCAAGCAUUCAUUUUCCAAAAUAAUUUUCAAAUAUAUGUUUACAUAUAUGGUUAUAGAAGCUAUAUCCCAUUAAACGAAAUUUAAAAUGUUUGGAGGUAUUGCUUUAGGCUGUACUUCAACAGCAUGUACAGAGGACUGUAGAAUGAGAGAUAAUUGGAUUCUCCUUCCCACUCAUCUCUGUGAAUAAAUUUCAUUUGUACUUAGCAUGACUAGAAACACAAUUCUGGACACAUGAGAGACAUUUAAUUAUCUAUAAGCCAGUGAUUGUUAAUGUUUAGGUGUUAAUUACCCUGUGUUAGUAAAUUUGAGAUUGAGUUGACUUUAGAAUCUGUAUCAACAGUAAAAUAAGACCUGCCCCUACAGUGUUUCAUACUUGAGGAUCACAUAGCCACUAAUCAAGUACAUCCCUUCUGCUGAGUGAGUGCAACUGGCUCAGAUCCUUAUUUCAAUAUUGUUCCAAGUUUCUAUGACAUGACAGUUGGAUACAUAUGAGAAAUGCUGUUCUGAAUCUAAAGGAAAUAAGAGAUUCUUUAUUCUGGAUUCGAAUAUGACUGAAAAUGGGUUCUGUUAGCAUGUCCUUGGGAGAUAAACACAAAUGCCCAUUCACCCCAGAUUGGUACCAAUGCAGACCAUUUCACAAAAGUCCAACCUGGUGAAAAAUAGAAGUCUAUGGAAAUUCUUACACACCCAGGGGAGAUGUUAUCACAAGCAGUUGGAUGACCCCACUGGGAAAAACCAACAGUAACUAUUCCACAGCCUAGAUCUCAGAUUCAGAGAACCCAAAUGACAAAGUUACGACAUGGUAACAGUCUCAUGGAACAUUUAUAGUUACAGAAUAAAGAGUCAUAAAUCAAGACAAGUUUCAAAAACAUGGCUUGAACAAACAGGAGGGGAGGUUAUAGUAAAGAGAAGUCUCUACUGUUCUCUGGUGACAUUCUUAGCAUUUAUAUUGGUGGAAAUUAGAUAUUUCUGUUGACAUUCUAAAAUAAUUAAUAUUCUCCACUAUGGAUUCAUUUGAGUUGGAUAAGGUCUGAAUGAUUAGCAAAGAUUUUGCCAUACUCCACACACUCGUGGAAUUUGUAUUGAAAGACCCCCGCCCUUAGCUUUCUCUUUUAAGUUUUCCGCAUGCAGCUGGCGAAUACAUCCUCUCCUGCACCCCCUGACCCUUGAUACCCACAGCU